rnacentral:rRNA from 1 species
AUUGAACGCUGGCGGCAUGCCUUACACAUGCAAGUCGAACGGUAACGGGUCCUUCGGGAUGCCGACGAGUGGCGAACGGGUGAGUAAUAUAUCGGAACGUGCCCAGUAGUGGGGGAUAACUGCUCGAAAGAGCAGCUAAUACCGCAUGCGACCUGAGGGUGAAAGGGGGGGAUCGCAAGACCUCUCGCUAUUGGAGCGGCCGAUAUCAGAUUAGAUAGUUGGCGGGGUAAAGGCCUACCAAGGCAACGAUCUGUAGUUGGUCUGAGAGGACGACCAGCCACACUGGGACUGAGACACGGCCCAGACUCCUACGGGAGGCAGCAGUGGGGAAUUUUGGACAAUGGGCGCAAGCCUGAUCCAGCAAUGCCGCGUGCAGGAAGAAGGCCUUCGGGUUGUAAACUGCUUUUGUCAGGGAAGAAAUCUUCUGGGCUAAUACCCCGGGAGGAUGACGGUACCUGAAGAAUAAGCACCGGCUAACUACGUGCCAGCAGCCGCCGUAAAAC